UGCGGAAGGAUCAUUGUUGAU
rnacentral:rRNA from 1 species